rnacentral:rRNA from 1 species
GGGGUAGUCCGCAACGAGCGCAACCCCUGUGCNCUGAUGUUGCCAUCAUUGUAGUUGGGGACUCAUCGGAGACUGCCGGUGACAAACCGGAGGAAGGUGGGGAUGACGUCAAGUCAUCAUGCCCUUUAUGUCCAGGGCUACACACGUGCUACAAUGGCCGGUACAACGGGCUGCGAUACCGCGAGGUGGAGCGAAUCCCUAAAAGCCGGUCUCAGUUCGGAUUGGAGUCUGCAACUCGACUCCAUGACGGCGGAAUUGCUAGUAAUCGCGAAUCAGCAACGUCGCGGUGAAUACGUUCCCGGGCCUUGUACACACCGCCCGUCACACCACGAAAGCUAGGAACACCCGAAGCCGAUGGCCUAACCCGCAAGGGAGGGAAUCGUCGAAUGUGGGCUGGGUGAUCGGGGUGAAGUCGUAACAAUGUAGCCGUACCGGAAGGUGCGGCUGGAUCACCU